CAGUUCUGGAGGAUGGAAGAUUCCCGAGACGGUCGUACCACAGUAUCGCUGUUCCGGGGUGUACCCAGGCUAGUUAAACGGUCCCCAUCCCAACGUGGGAGAGGGGGAGGUGACCAGGAUCGUCUGCUUCACUGUGGGUGAAAACACCUGUCACUGGAGCCUGGAGAUCGGGUUGAAAAACUGCUCCGGUUACUUUGUAUAUCGACUGAAGCCGACCUGGAAUACUGCUGUGUACUGUACAGAUUUCCAUUCUGACACAACUUGGGAAUCCCUGGGACCACCAACCGGAGAACCUGGUCUGGGUUUGAACACAACCACAGUAGGGUCUUCAAGCUCACGUACCAAUCCCCACUCAGACACAACUCCAGAACCCCACGGAUCAGUGACAGGUGAACCUGGUCCGGGUCUGACCACCAUACCAGCUGUGUCUGUGAGCUCAGACCUGGAGGUUUCCACAAUGGAUCAGCCCGAUGGAUCAUCUACAGGACAACCCACCCCAUCACCAUCCUCUGUCUCAGUGGGAGAGAGGUCCUCAGGUAGUUCCACAGGGAAACAGACCGAUGGGUCAGUGUCUGGAGAACACACCCAGAAAUCAUCUUCUGUUCCAGCAGGAGACACGAGCCCAG